rnacentral:tRNA from 1 species
UGAUAAGGAGCUUGAUUAGUUAAGCAAUUCAUUUACAUUGAAUUUAUAUUCGUGCAAAUCGAAUCUUGUUAA